AUCCAUCAUAACCAAGAUUCAUCAAACAAGGAAUCAUCGAGUCUCAUCCAAGGAGCAGAGCUACAGAAGUUGGGAACAUCUGUCGACAUCAUGGCUGAAGGUGGUGACAGAGGAGGUGAUUCAGUUACCUGUACAUCAAAGGAACAAAAAGAUAUAAACUCCGCAAUCUCCACUUUCCUGUCAAACUGUGACGAUCACCAGCUCUUACAGUUGACGA